rnacentral:rRNA from 1 species
CACGUAGGGCGCAAGCGUUGUCCGGAAUUAUUGGGCGUAAAGAGCUUGUAGGCGGUUUGUCGCGUCUGCCGUGAAAAUCCGGGGCUCAACUCCGGAUCUGCGGUGGGUACGGGCAGACUAGAGUGAUGUAGGGGAGACUGGAAUUCCUGGUGUAGCGGUGAAAUGCGCAGAUAUCAGGAGGAACACCGAUGGCGAAGGCAGGUCUCUGGGCAUUAACUGACGCUGAGGAGCGAAAGCAUGGGGAGCGAACAGG